UUAACAAGGAAGGAAAACGGACAGCGAGGAUUCUUGGCCCUCCUAUAACAGAAAACGCACAUCUGUGCUCUUGAGUUUCCUUAUGAGGACUUUUACUGGCUUACGCAUCGGAAAAAUGUUGUAGUUGCAAGAUCAAAGAAGAUUAUGCACGCUUGGCAGAGAUUUCACAGGUGGAAAUAAGACCAUCCGCGGCAAAGCUCAUGUCACCGAAAGGGAUUAGUUUUUCAUACAGUAUCACAGCGUUACUAUUCUCGGUCUAUGUACUGUUUUUUCUUUUGUUUUUGUUUAGCAUUAACCGACGCAAAAGUUCUUAUUAGGCGCCGUGAAGCAAGUGGGCAUUGGCUAGUAUACGUAUAAAAUUGUGAAGGAAUUCUAUAAUGGCUCUGGGUAACCGUUACCAUUGCAUUGCCUGUUGAAGAUGUGGCCGAAGCAUAGCUGAAUGUAGCUGAAAAACUUAGUGCGAAAAUGCCAUUGGCCUAAAACACGCACGAAUAAUUGUGCAAGCAUGGUUUGUUGGCGAGGGGAAUGAAGACAAUACAUUGUUCGAUUUCAUUUGUCGAAGCUUCGUUGGAUGUAAAUUUUUUAGUUGCGCAUAGCACCAUGCUGGAUGGAAAAAUUGGAGAAGUUCGAUAAUGCCAUUGAGAGUUACUGGAAAGCCUGCACUGUGGGUUAUAUUGUAGCAGCGGAAAAUUUAAAUGAUAAACGAAUGCAAUCGCCAUAGUAGCAGACACCUCAUCAGGCAAUAUUAUGUAAAUGGAGUUCAGCGAUCCUGCAAUCGGAUUUGAAAAUGUCCAACAAACGCCGGCAAUCAGUGGUAAAGGCACUUCUAGUCUAAUUUUCAAAUAUUUUACGCUUAACUAACAAAUUUUUAAUAAAUUGUUUUAAUAGUUAUUUCUAUUGUA